rnacentral:rRNA from 1 species
GAUGAACGCUGGCGGCGUGCUUAACACAUGCAAGUCGAACGAAGCACUUAAGUUGAUUUCUUCGGAUUGAUUCUUAAGUGACUUAGUGGCGGACGGGUGAGUAACGCGUGGGUAACCUGCCUCGUACAGGGGGAUAACAGUUAGAAAUGACUGCUAAUACCGCAUAACCCGCUAGGAUCGCAUGAUCCGGACGGAAAAGAUUUAUCGGUACGAGAUGGACCCGCGUCUGAUUAGCUAGUUGGUGAGGUAACGGCCCACCAUGGCGACGAUCAGUAGCCGGUCUGAGAGGAUGAACGGCCACAUUGGGACUGAGAUACGGCCCAGACUCCUACGGGAGGCAGCAGUGGGGAAUAUUGGGCAAUGGGGGAAACCCUGACCCAGCAACGCCGCGUGAAG